GCAGGACCAAGACAGAUACAACGUGACAGCUGCAGGACCAAGACAGAUACAACGUGAUAGCUGCAGGACCAAGACAGAUACAACAUGAUAGCUGCAGGACCAAGACAGACUCACUCUGAUACAACAUGAUAGCUGCAGGACCAAGACAGACUCACUCUGAUACAACAUGAUAGCUGCAGGACCAAGACAGAUACAACAUGAUAGCUGCAGGACCAAGACAGAUACAACAUGAUAGCUGCAGGACCAAGACAGAUACAACGUGAUAGCUGCAGGACCAAGACAGAUACAACAUGAUAGCUGCAGGACCAAGACAGAUACAACAUGAUAGCUGCAGGACCAAGACAGAUACAACAUGAUAGCUGCAGGACCAAGACAGAUACAACGUGAUAGCUGCAGGACCAAGACAGACUCACUCUGAUACAACGUGAUAGCUGCAGGACCAAGACAGAUACAACAUGAUAGCUGCAGGACCAAGACAGAUACAACAUGAUAGCUGCAGGACCAAGACAGAUACAACAUGAUAGCUGCAGGACCAAGACAGAUACAACAUGAUAGCUGCAGGACCAAGACAGAUACAACAUGAUAGCUGCAGGACCAAGACAGAUACAACAUGAUAGCUGCAGGACCAAGACAGAUACAACAUGAUAGCUGCAGGACCAAGACAGAUACAACGUGAUAGCUGCAGGACCAAGACAGAUACAACAUGAUAGCUGCAGGACCAAGACAGAUACAACAUGAUAGCUGCAGGACCAAGACAGAUACAACGUGAUAGCUGCAGGACCAAGACAGAUACAACAUGAUAGCUGCAGGACCAAGACAGAUACAACGUGAUAGCUGCAGGACCAAGACAGAUACAACAUGAUAGCUGCAGGACCAAGACAGAUACAACAUGAUAGCUGCAGGACCAAGACAGAUACAACGUGACUCUUUCUAUAACUAACCUUGUCUGGAUGUCUGUCUACUGUCUGUCUACUGUCACGUUAAUUGAAUGUUUGCAGGACAUUUUCCAGCUGGUUUUUGAAUGUUUAAUGUUGUUUUUUUUUAACAUGGGCUUUUCCUGGCCAAUGGGGCGAUCUGGACGUAAUCUGGCCAAUGGGACGAUCUGGACGUAAUCUGGACAUUUGUUGAAACCUUAAGAUUUAAGGAUUUAUUUGAUUUUCCUCUGUUUGAGAGGGCUGUCCUCUCCAGGCCCCCUGUAGUCUGACCAGCUAGGUUUGCUUGGCUGGAGAGACUCUGAGUGGCCUAACGCUCACUCUGAUUGGUUACUGGGACUAUGGGGGCGUGAGUAACGUUUUGAAACGAUGGCAGAUUUUCAAUGUUGGACAUGAACGUUGUUAAAACGUUAGGAGAAAGUUAUCAAUAAAGUGAUCUUGACUGAA